UACGAGGGGGGCGAGCGUUGUUCGGAAUUAUUGGGCGUAAAGGGUGCGUAGGCGGUCGUUUAAGUCCGUUGUGAAAUCCCUGGGCUCAACCUGGGAAUGGCAGUGGAUACUGGACGGCUAGAAUGCGGUAGAGGGUAGUGGAAUUCCCGGUGUAGCAGUGAAAUGCGUAGAGAUCGGGAGGAACACCAGUGGCGAAGGCGGCUUCCUGGACUAGCAUUGACGCUCAAGCACGAAAGCGUGGGGAGCAAACAGG
rnacentral:rRNA from 1 species